GAAUUAUUUAGUGAAAUUAAAACAGAAAACAAAAGCAAACAGUUAUACACAAAGACCAAGGUGUUGAAUAAAGAUAGUGCUUUGAUUCAGUGCAAGACAGAUGAUGGUGCUGAAUGAGUCGAUCUGAUGUACAGGUUAACCAAGUAUACU